rnacentral:rRNA from 1 species
CCUACGGGUGGCAGCAGUGGGGAAUAUUGGGCAAUGGACGCAAGUCUGACCCAGCAACGCCGCGUGAAGGAAGAAGGCUCUCGGGUUGUAAACUUCCUUUUAGGGGGAAGAGCAGAAGACGGUACCCCUUGAAUAAGCCACGGCUAACUACGUGCCAGCAGCCGCGGUAAUACGUAGGUGGCAAGCGUUAUCCGGAGUUACUGGGUGUAAAGGGCGUGCAGCCGGAGAGACAAGUCAGAUGUGAAAUCCACGGGCUCAACCCGUGAACUGCCUUUGAAACUGUUUCCCUUGAGUGUAGGAGAGGUAAGCGGAAUUCCUGGUGUAGCGGUGAAAUGCGUAGAUAUAAGGCAGAACACCGGUGGCGAAGGCAGAUUACUGGACGAUAACUGACGGUGAGGCACGAAAGCGUGGGGAGCAAACAGGAUUAGAUACCCGGGUAGUC